CUUACCACGGUGGGGUUCAUGACUGGGGUGAAGUCGUAACAAGGUAGCCGUAGGGGAACCUGCGGCUGGAUCACCUCCUUA
rnacentral:rRNA from 1 species